AGCUGCCCCAGUAGCCCAGUCGUUAGGUAUGUAGCUUUCCUUGUGAGAACGUUGGUUCGACUCCGCUUGCCGACAAUUUCAUAAGAAAAGUUGCAAAUCGAGCUGCUAAGUUACCCGGAGGGGGGCGGCGCAAUUUUUUUUUUUUUUUAUAUAAU
rfam:Plasmodium falciparum RAJ116 genomic scaffold supercont1.30, whole genome shotgun sequence.